GUAACAAAAUGUUUUAAAACGCUUAUUUUCUAGGCAUCCUUAGUCUGGAAAUUCUAUAUGUGGUUGUUUGUCUUCUUCUUAACCUAGAGCAGCAUCUUCCUUGUUCUUUUCAAUUUUAAGUUGAAGCAGUACAAUAUAUUGAUCUUUUCUGUGGGCAGAAUUCUUAAUUUCAAUGCCCCUUUAGGGAAUUAAAUAUGGAUUUGAAAGAGAUGUCCAGCUGCUCAUACCAUUUGGCAGAAGCUGUCUAAAUUGUGCAAGUGGGGGAUAAAUGCAGACAUUUUGAGCUGUUCUAACCUCUCCUUGACUCGACAUCUCCAUCCAUUAUGAAUCCCUUGGGCCAGAUCCUCACUGAGGUAAAUUGGCAUAGUUUCCUUAGGCUUAUUCCUCCUGUGCUGACUUACACCAGCUGAGCCUGACAUUAUUUCCUCAUUAAGUGGAUGAAGUAACCAAAGCAUGUCUGCAGGCCUCAGAAUUGAAAUGCAUUUCUCUGUGAACUGUUCUCCAUUUGAACAAGAGGGGACCGGCUGUGCCAAAUGAAGCAGAGGAAAGAUGAGCCAUUCUGCUUGAUCCUGGCCCAAUGCCCACAUGGUCCUGCUACCCAUUUUUUCCUGCUAAUACCCUGUCUCCUUCAUGGCCAGAUCUAGAUCUUUCACAGGACAGGAGAAUUUUGACACCAAUGCUUUUUUAUGAAGACUGCACAGAGAGGAGAGGAGCCUUUAUGUAACUGAGCAUAAAUGUGUGCAUUUGUGUGCAUCCAUUUGUGCCUGGAACACAUACAUAUACUGUCAAAUAGAGCAGACAGUGUAACUACAAACAUUCAGUGAGACUUGACUGUUUGUUUGUUUGUUUGUUUGUUUGUUUGUUUAGGGGCAGGUGUAGCUGUGAUACCAAAAGAAUGACUGUCUCAUGUGAUCUCCCAAACACUUGUCUGUGUAUCAAGUCACACCCUACUUUGGUGAUACAAUAGCAGGCACUGGCAAAUUCGAAAAGAACAGGACACAGUGCAGCACACCAAAACCUCUGCAUGGCACUGCAGUUGCUCUCUGAUUUAGGGGAAGCUACAGAGAAACUCUAGCACUGUACAAAAUAAUCAGUUUAAGAUACGAAAACAAACCACUGGAGACUUAUUGAGUCUUAAAUGUCUUUAUCUUGAAGUCUUUAUCUUAAAUGUCUCAGAAUCCUAGGAGCUUUUAAAAACACUCAUAAUAAUUCAAAUUGUUGCUAGUGUUAGCUUUACUGUUAUAUAUUGUUUUACUUUAUCAAGGCAGAAAUGUGCUCAUCAUUCAUGCAGUGUUAUAAAAUGCAGUUGUAGGGAAAAAAAUAAUCCUAAAC
rnacentral:lncRNA from 1 species